rnacentral:rRNA from 1 species
CACGUAGGGUGCAAGCGUUGUCCGGAAUCAUUGGGCGUAAAGAGCUCGUAGGCGGCUUAGUAAGUCGGAUGUGAAAUCCCCAGGCUCAACUUGGGAACUGCAUCCGAUACUGGAUGGCUUGAAUCCGGGAGAGGGAUGCAGAAUUCCAGGUGUAGCGGUGAAAUGCGUAGAUAUCUGGAGGAAUACCGGUGGCGAAGGCGGCAUCCUGGACCGGCAUUGACGCUGAUGAGCGAAAGCUAGGGGAGCAAACGGG